rnacentral:lncRNA from 1 species
GCAAAGCCAGCAGAAGCGGAUAGGCCCGUAAAUCUCUCGAGGAGAGGAUAACGCACACUCAUCCAGAGAGAGCUUCAUCACACACAACAAUGUCGAUUUCUGUAAGACUACCAUCUUCAAUCUCAUUCCUUUCAUCCUCCAUUUUCUCCCUUUCUUCUAAUCAAACCCCCUCCACCUCUCUUUUCAUCAAACCCCCAAAACCCCAUUUUCCCAAAUGCACCACCGCCGUAGUCCGCUCCCAGCUAGCCACACUCCCAGUACUCUCCUUCGACGGCACCAAGGUCGGAGAAACCACCCUUAACCUCAAAUCCGCCAACCCAGACACCGCCCGCGCCGUUGUUCACCGUGGU